ACGGGCGGGGCCGUUGUCUGGGGUGGGACUAGGCAAAUAUUACCCUAUGGGGUAGGGUAACAGGAGCGGGCCGCGAGUUGAGGAUAGGUUAUCUCUGUAGGGGCGUGGCUUGUGGGUCCUCGCUUUCCCGCCGACGGUUGGCCACGUCACGUGACAUGGGCUGGAAGAUGGCGUCUCCCACGGACGGGACAGAUUUGGAAGCAUCUUUGCUAAGUUUUGAGAAACUUGACCGAGCCUCGCCAGAUCUUUGGCCGGAACAAUUACCAGGAGUUGCUGAAUUUGCAGCUUCUUUCAAAAGUCCCAUCACUAGCUCUCCACCAAAAUGGAUGGCUGAAAUAGAACGUGAUGACAUCGAUAUGUUGAAAGAGCUGGGGAGCCUCACCACAGCUAAUUUGAUGGAGAAGGUACGAGGCCUCCAGAACCUGGCCUAUCAGCUGGGGCUGGAUGAGUUUUACAGAUGAAAGAGCUGAGACAAAGAGAAGCUACAUGAUUUAUCUGCAAACACCAUCUACCAGAGAGAUGACUAGGGGGAAAUUCCUGAACAUCCUAGAGAAACCCAAGAAGUAGCAGCCGCUCCAGCACAAGUGUCCUGAAGACCACAACCAAGUACCCUUCCCAGUGUCGCUCUGAUGACGCACACAGCGUGCUUCCUGGGGAAAGACUGCCCUUCUCCCCUGCUCCUGGCACUCUGCACCUCUGAGGACAUUUGGCAGCAAGAGAAGAAUCUGUUCUACCCAAGGAUCAUUGCCAUUUCCUGAGUCGGCUCCGUAGCUCUGGGUAUUGGUGACGUAGAGGUCUCAUCAUUCCGAAAGGUCCUUCCCAAAAGUGAUUGAGGAGUCUCAGAACUCCUUCGGUUCUGUAAUGGCAAAGUCAGUAGUGACGUGUCGAUUAGUGGGUUCUGUUGAGUUGUACUUGACCUCUUAAGAAACAUUCAUGACAAGAACAUCAGAGACCAACUACAUUCUGGACCAGACUGCAUCCUGACCUGUGAACUCUACAGAUCUAACGGAUUCUGUGACUUCCAUUCUGAAGGAAACAAUCGUCUUGAAGUGCACAUCUGCUUUUUUACGUCUGUCUCUCCAAUGGUACUCUCUCCCUUAGCACUGUCCAUUCCCCCGCUCCCAGGCCCACUUUGCAGCUCUGACUCCGGACAAGUGGAGCUCUUGUAGUGACUCUCUGGAAUAAAAGGCUCAUGCGGGGUCACCCUGAGUUCUAGACCUCCAGACUAGUGUGAAGGCAACGGAAGGAACUCUGGUUAGUCUCUUACAUUUGUAAGUGAAAAAGUGAGUGUGACCUGGUAGUGGGAGGGCAUGGUUGUAAGAGUUCCCUUUGACUGAAAACAAGAAGCCCCGACUGACUGAGUGUGUGCUGUCGGAUGGUAACAAUGCCUUUUCCCCUUUUCCUCCUCUCAACCACAUAUCAGCUACUCCACUUACAUCAUCCAAACAUACCCAGAGGAGAAUGUGCUGGCUUACAGCAACUCUCACAGAUUAUUUUUGCUACUUGUAUAUGUCUGCUAAAGUCUGAAAAUCUUGCCCAUGGGUAAAAUGGAUUAGACCUAGUCUUUCACAUUUUGAAAAGCGCAGAGAGUUCCCUCAAUAUUAUAGGAAGAAAAGCUCUGUGGCUGUCAUCCACUGGGAGUUUGGACACGGAGAAGCUGUGGCCAAGUCUGUGUCAUGUGUCUAUUAGGGCACAGUACUCUUGAGGUUCACAGCAGGUCCCUUGACCAUUCCCGACACUUGUGCCUAAUGCUUGAGUUGAUGUUGGAUUGUCCCCUUCAUUAGUGCUAUUUGAUCGACACAGUUUUACUUUUUAAAAGGAAAAAGCAAUGAAAUGUGUACCACAAAAGAGAAGUAUGAGAAGAGAAGCAUUCUGCUGGAGUACUCCCUAGAAGGGCCAGUUGAUUUUAAGCUUAAGUCUGUGAUUGACAUUUUUUAUCUCACUAAAUGCGGUUAAAGUGAGUGUAUACGAGUGAUCAGAAAAUAAUGCCAUAUGUCAAAUUUUUUCUUCACUCUGUUUUUGAGAGUUGAUGACAUCAGGCACUUUCAGAGUUUGGGGACAUUGAAAGGUAUGUGGAGAAUACUGGGAUCGCUCCCCAACCAGCUCGUCUGUAAUGGGAAGCCAGUAGUUGGUAUUUGGAACUGCUGUGGCCUCCUCCUUCACUGUCUGUCACCCUGUUCACCAGCACUUAAUUAAUGUAAGUAGACGUUGUAGAAUUGUGAUAUUUAUUGUUUUUGUAUUUGUCAUCCUUAGAAAUGUUAAUGAUGUAUUUUUAUAUUGAUAAUAUAAAUUUAAGUACAGUAUGCAUAUGUAUUUUAGAACGUUAGAGGAUUAUACUUUGUGUAUAAUAUGUCUUCAUAAUAAAUGUGUCCCUUGUA